UACAGAGGGUGCAAGCGUUGUUCGGAAUUAUUGGGCGUAAAGCGCGGGUAGGCGGCUUUGCAAGUCGGGUGUGAAAGCCCUCAGCUCAACUGAGGAAGUGCGCCCGAAACUGCAGAGCUUGAGUGCCGGGGAGGGUGGCGGACUUCCCAAAGUAGGGGUGAAAUUCGUAGAUAUGGGGAGGAACACCGGUGGCGAAGGCGGCCACCUGGACGGCAACCGACGCUGAGACGCGUAAGCGUGGGGAGCAAACACG
rnacentral:rRNA from 1 species